rnacentral:lncRNA from 1 species
UGGAAGCACAAUCGGUGCAUUCUCCUGGGGUACCGUAGGAACACUCAUCCCUGGGUAUGCCUGGAGUGAUCACCAGCAGGACAGCUCAACGCACCAAGUCCAGGGGCUGUUUGCCCUAUCUAGAAACAGCUGGAAUGCAGAUGCCGUCUACCUGGGGACACCCAUAACAUUCACUAGCCCAGCAGGUGAAUGCUGCUUGGGUCAGCCUGGAAAGUCCAAUGGCACAGAAGUUGCAUGUUAACUGGGGUGUACCUGAAUUCUACAGUGGCAUAAGCAGGUGUGUCAUGCUGUCCCCUGCAGGGUAGCUGUGGCAGCCUCUCGGGGUGCAUCUGGAAUGGUUGGCAGCCCCGCAGCCGUGUUCUGCUCGGAUGUGCCUAGUCCAUGCAGGAACCAGACACGCUUUGGCAUGUUGAGCAGUUGGAUUAAUGAUACUGUAACAAAGGGGAAUCGGGGAGUUCCCCUGCUGUCCUGGAACCCACAGCCCGUGUAGAGCAGCCGUGCUGUUCAGCCUUAGGACGAUGCAGUUAGGCCUCUGUCAUCAUAACUGAAAUGCGAGGGCUUACACAGUCACUUGCUUUAGGAGAGGUCCGAGCACUUUGCAAGCACGAACCCUCACGUAUCACAGCGUCCCUGUGAGAUCAGGAGGCGGCAUUCCCACCCCCCACACACACAGUUUAUAGGCAGACAAUGAGCAGCCCCCUUGUCAGUGGCAGGGUUGGGGACAUGACCCAACAUUCUGAGUCCCAGGCCUUGGCUUGUUCAGCCACAGAAUUUUCGUCCAUCACAAGCAAUGAUUUCCAACCUGCGUGCCUGCUGUUAUCCAGAUCUUCCUACACUGGUUUCAGUUCCCCCGUGUUCCCUAGGAAAUGUGCGUGCAGGGGUAGUCAGUGGGAAUGUGCUAGUGGCCAAUUUGCUUUGAACUCCCCUAUCUGACAUUCAAUCUCAUUACACAGCAGCAGCAGCAGCACAAGGGCAAGAGGGAGGAAAUUCAGAGCAAAAGGCCACUAACCACAAGUUUUUCAAGCAAAAAGGCUUCACAUACACGCCCCUUCUGACAUAUUCUCCGUUUAAACUUGAGACAGGGCUGCUCACACAUCCAACCACCAUCAUUCCUCAGCUACCCUUCUAUCAUACGGCGCUUUG